GACGAACGCUGGCGGUGUGCUUAACACAUGCAAGUCGAACGGUAAGGCCCUUUCGGGGGUACACGAGUGGCGAACGGGUGAGUAACACGUGAGUAACCUGCCCUCAUCUCUGGGAUAACAGUCGGAAACGGUUGCUAGUACUGGAUAUGAGCUUGCAAGGCAUCUUGUGGGUUGGAAAGAUUUUUUUGGUUGGGGAUGGACUCGCGGCCUAUCAGCUUGUUGGUGAGGUAGUGGCUCACCAAGGCUUCGACGGGUAGCCGGCCUGAGAGGGCGACCGGCCACAUUGGGACUGAGAUACGGCCCAAACUCCUACGGGAGGCAGCAGUGGGGAAUAUUGCACAAUGGACGGAAGUCUGAUGCAGCAACGCCGCGUGCGGGAUGACGGCCUUCGGGUUGUAAACCGCUUUCAAUUGUGACGAAGCUUUUUGUGACGGUAGCAGUAGAAGAAGCACCGGCUAACUACGUG
rnacentral:rRNA from 1 species